GGCAAACGUCAUCCCAUGAAUAUCAUUUUUCUUUGCUCCCUUCAAACUUAACCCUUGGCAUUUGCAAUAUUACAUAUUUCAUGGCUAUGUGGAUUCAAUGGCAGGCUAGUCUGAAUAGAAAAGUUACUACCUAUGCAAAAUAGAUAAUUUAGUAGCUAUCUUCAAGAUUUAAUCACAUUUCUUUUUCCUUUUUGUAAUGAGCAAGGACAUCA
rnacentral:lncRNA from 1 species